rnacentral:rRNA from 1 species
AGACACGGUCCAGACUCCUACGGNAGGCAGCAGUGGGGAAUAUUGGACAAUGGGCGAAAGCCUGAUCCAGCCAUGCCGCGUGUGUGAAGAAGGUCUUCGGAUUGUAAAGCACUUUAAGUUGGGAGGAAGGGCAGUUACCUAAUANGUGAUUGUUUUGACGUUACCGACAGAAUAAGCACCGGCUAACUCUGUGCCAGCAGCCGCGGUAAUACAGAGGGUGCAAGCGUUAAUCGGAAUUACUGGGCGUAAAGCGCGCGUAGGUGGUUUGUUAAGUUGGAUGUGAAAGCCCCGGGCUCAACCUGGGAACUGCAUCCAAAACUGGCAAGCUAGAGUAUGGUAGAGGGUGGUGGAAUUUCCUGUGUAGCGGUGAAAUGCGUANAUAUAGGAAGGAACACCAGUGGCGAAGGCGACCACCUGGACUGAUACUGACACUGAGGUGCGAAAGCGUGGGGAGCAAACAGGAUUANAUACCCUGGUAGUCCNCGCCGUAAACGAUGUCNACUA